UGUUUCCCGUCGUUAUACUAUAUUAACAUUUAUAAUACUUCGAAUAAACAAAGCAUCCGUUUUGCUUACAAUUAACCAAGUAUUACCGCGUCAACGUUUCCUAAACCAUAGUAUACCACGAGCAUCGCUAUCAAAUUCCAAAAUAUUACACUUAAGCAAACCAUUAACCUCGAUUUCGCUCGUCAGUAUCAACGAUCAUGGCGCAACGACCACGAAAACCCGUAUCAGAUACAUUCGUCGGCGCUAAAGCGCAGUUUCGAAACGAGUUGCCGUCGUGGCCGCUAUACAAGAACACUUUUGAAACGGGCUGCGCCAUAAUUUCGCGAGCACGGCAACACGUCCGCUCUAGCAGGGUGCAGUUUUACCGUGGCGCAAACUAGCGUCUCGUACGUGGCGAAUGACCGCUUUCAUAGUGAUAGACACGCAACAGGCCAUCGACGUUCCCGUGUUACGUCUCAGCUUGGCGGGCUUUCACGCCUUUAACGUCGUCGUAACUCGUCGCGAAAAACUCAAUUAUCCGACCGCGAAAUACCUGAACCGAUAACGGAACGAUAAUGCGGCUCGAGCUCGAGUGGCUAUCGAUUAUCGUCUCAUUAUCAUUAUCAUAACCGAGAUCUCGUUAAAACCGAUAAAAAGUAUACGGAAUUAACGUGCUUCGCGUAUCGAUCAUACGAUGUAUCGAGUGUUCGCUGGUGUUUGCGAAGAUUGUGAAUUGCGAAAGUUUCUGCAGGUUUACCGUAUAUAAUAUGCAGAGGCUUUGUGGUGAAAAGUAAAAGAUUUAAUUCUUCAGAUGGAAUUCUCCGAAUAAUUUGUGAAAAAUGAAAGUUGGCGUUGGAGGUUCGACGAUAGAGAAGAAUUUGUAAGGAGAGACAAGCAGCCAAAGGGGCUGGCCACGCGAACAUUGACGCUCACAUUUAUUCACAGGGAUUCUUGCCACGAUUCACACGCAUUCGGCGCGUACGCCUGUUCGUUCACACGUGCCAGGCAAUUUUGCCAUAACGUCGAGAAGUAUGCGGCGGAGACGAGCGGGCCGAGCGUAAAUCCAGCCAGGGGGCUGGCUGAGGCUUGAUUUCACCGUGCGCGCGUGGAAACAACUCGAAACUCACGGAGAGAGAGACGAUACUUUCGAGCGUGUACCGUUUACACGGAAAUGCACGCGCGGGUGAGCGCGCGGCCGUUCGCGAGUCAGCAAACCGUGCGGAAUGUCGACUGACGUAACGUCACCGAAAUUGAACGGCACCCUGGCUGUCUCGCGUAAUCGAAGCCUCGUUCGACUCGACGGCCACGCGUCCACAGAUUGUUAAGGGGUUGCUUUCGAUUCGAAUAUUUGCCAGUAGAUUUUUAUUGCCAGUAGACUGUGCGUAUUUCUGCAAAUUCAUACUUUCUGCGAAAAAAAUUGGGCUUAGGUAGAGAAUGCUUUUAGCUGUUAACCCUCAGCGAUGGACAUAUUUUUCUGGUGACAAUACAACGGUGGCGACGUCCAAUUUUGAGACGAAUUUUAAAUGUCGCCAAAAAAAAAAGAAAGAAAAAAAAAGGAAAAUGGUAAAAGGAUAUAAAAUUUGCAUGCUUCGGUAAUAAAUUUGUAUAAGCGUUAAUAACCCAAAAACGAGGCUACAUUUGUAACUUUAAUCACAUACUUUACCGCAAACAUAUUUUACCGCGUUUCCAGGCUAUUUUAAUAUUUCCAGCGUGUUUGACAUUUCCUGCGCAAGCAUCAAAAUACACGCAUAACGGUGCGUGACUUUUAGAAUCGAAACUCGGGCGGAACACGUUCGAAGCAUUUACGAAUGCGCCAUUAAUCAAGCCGAUAUUUCCCGUGUUUCAGAUGUUGCAGAAGCGUCGGUGAAUUUAACGUUAUCGUCGCUUAUAGCUUCAUUUACGUACAAACACGCAUAAGUGCUUGUACGUGCGUAUUCGCAGAUGCGACCUCCGUCCCUGUGGAAUUCUAGAGCUGGUCAAUGUAUAGUUACAUACAUACGGAACAUACCACCGAACCGGCAACUAGACACGAGUGUUUACCCCCCUGUGUGAUCCUUACGUUGCCUGCAAUUUAUAGGAAAAAAGUUCUACGAGAUUAUUCUAACUAUGCCACACACGUGUGUUUUCUAGAUACACGUGUACGUUUAUAUAUAAAACAGACGCUAUCGAUUCUUGUGAAAAAAAUUAUAUUACAAAUUGCGAUAAAUAAACUUUUUACACCUAUCGCUUCGAUUUUUCUUCGAUAUUAACUAAUAGGUAACACUCGACUGAUACCAACUAAUUCUGCUACAGACAAGCCUUUUGUAACAUGGUUAACUCGUUCCGCGUUAUAUCGAAAUCAGGUUUCCAAGUGUGUGUUAACAGCAAGUACUUAAUACUAAGGAAGACUGCAAGACCCUGGAUAUCUUCACCUUAAGGGAUCUAUGUAUAUAGAUCGUCGAGCGGAACGCGUGAGCUGGAAUCGGAAAGGUCAGAGGAUCUCGUGGCAAUGCGUCAUCGAGUAGGCAAACAGGACACCGAUCGAAGCGAGCGUUCCUAUCCCUAGGACGACGCACACCGUACGCCACACAUCGGUCGUACAAUUCGUCGCUGCCGUGGGCUGUCAACGUAAUUACACGUACAGGGACCAUUAGACACGCGCGACGCUUACAAACGACUCAAACCACCUGCGAAAUCGUCACUUUGUUCCGCAGUUAAAUCAUGCCAAACUCGAACGACCCUGUGUACAGAUGCGUUCUACCUCGUUGCUGCAAUCGAUAUACGACCAAUGUCUAGAAAUGUCUGAAAAAGGUGAAGAUUAUCGUCGUCGAGAAUUAUGAUCGGAGUAUAAUCGAAAGAUAUCGUUAGAGUUCUUCUCUCUACCUUGCACGAAGAUGUGUCUGACGAUGAGAUCUGAAACACUUGGAAUCGCUUCGAACCUGUACUGUAUUUUAUGUGGCGGCAAAUUCGAAUCCCUUUGAACAUGAUCCGAAAUUUAGAACUCUCGAAAGCUUUGAUAAACGUUGAGAUACAUGGCCAGAAGUAAAAUACAGGAAGAUAUUCACGCGAUCGGUGUAUUCGGCUAAUAGAGUAGCUGAGCACGUACAGUUUAACCGAUACAGUUUCCAGUUUUAUAAUUGUACAAUUGUCCAGUUUUAUAAUUUUCAAAAACGUAGAUAGUAGAAUUAUAUAUAAAGAAACAUAUAAACAAAUCAAGAGCGUAAUUUUUCUUUCAUUUUUGCUCUUAGAACGACGGAAUACCAGCUUGCAGAUGUGAUAUGCAAAUCUGAAAAAUAUACACAUAAUAUGCAAAUUUAAUACGCAAAAGGUAUAACACAAAUGAUACAAGAGAAAUUUCUAAUGAACAAUUUUUUAUUGGGAUUACCUGUCUUUUUAGGAAAUAAGAAAGUUUGCAAAAGUCUGUAUUUCGGAGGUUUCAGAAAUUAUGUUCAUCGUCUGCCACGAAAAUUACAUAGCUUACAUACGGUCUCCAUCGAGAUCAAAAUAAAAGUCUGUAAAACACGUUCCAGUUCCCAUGGCGACACACGACCGAACAAGAAAUCCAUUUCCCUCGUGUGGAACACUUUCUGUGUUUCAAUGAAAGGAACUGGAGAUGAAUUUACCGAUCAACGGCUGGAGGUUUAUACGGCGGCUUGUGCCUGACAGAAACAUUUUCUAAGAUCGAUUCUCGCGAAUCGCACGAAAACGAAUUUCUCGUGGGCAAAACUAAAAUUAUAUAGUAACACCGUAUUGCUGCCUGUCCUAUAUCAUAAAGAUAUCUUUG